ACGGGUGAGUAAUGCUUAGGAAUCUGCCUAUUAGUGGGGGACAACAUUUCGAAAGGAAUGCUAAUACCGCAUACGUCCUACGGGAGAAAGCAGGGGAUCUUCGGACCUUGCGCUAAUAGAUGAGCCUAAGUCGGAUUAGCUAGUUGGUGGGGUAAAGGCCUACCAAGGCGACGAUCUGUAGCGGGUCUGAGAGGAUGAUCCGCCACACUGGGACUGAGACACGGCCCAGACUCCUACGGGAGGCAGCAGUGGGGAAUAUUGGACAAUGGGCGGAAGCCUGAUCCAGCCAUGCCGCGUGUGUGAAGAAGGCCUUAUGGUUGUAAAGCACUUUAAGCGAGGAGGAGGCUACUUUAGUUAAUACCUAGAGAUAGUGGACGUUACUCGCAGAAUAAGCACCGGCUAACUCUGUGCCAGCAGCCGCGGUAAUACAGAGGGUGCAAGCGUUAAUCGGAUUUACUGGGCGUAAAGCGCGCGUAGGCGGCUAAUUAAGUCAAAUGUGAAAUCCCCGAGCUUAACUCGGGAAUUGCAUUCGAUACUGGUUAGCUAGAGUGUGGGAGAGGAUGGUAGAAUUCCAGGUGUAGCGGUGAA
rnacentral:rRNA from 1 species